rnacentral:rRNA from 1 species
AAUGGGCGAAAGCCUGAUGCAGCGACGCCGCGUGAGGGAUGAAGGCCUUCGGGUUGUAAACCUCUUUCGUCAGGGAAGAAGCCUUUCGGGGUGACGGUACCUGGAGAAGAAGCACCGGCUAACUACGUGCCAGCAGCCGCGGUAAUACGUAGGGUGCGAGCGUUGUCCGGAAUUAUUGGGGUAAAGAGCUUGUAGGCGGUUUGUCGCGUCUGCCGUGAAAAUCCAAGGCUUAGCUUUGGACGUGCGGUGGGUACGGGCAGGCUAGAGUGUGGUAGGGGAGACUGUAAUUCCUGGUGUAGCGGUGAAAUGCGCAGAUAGCAGGAGGAACACCGAUGGCGAAGGCAGGUCUCUGGGCGAUAACUGACGCUGAGAAGCGAAAGCAUGGGGAGCGAA